GCGUCCGAUUAGCUAGUUGGUAGGGUAAUGGCCUACCAAGGCGACGAUCGGUAGCCGGCCUGAGAGGGUGAUCGGCCACACUGGAACUGAGACACGGUCCAGACUCCUACGGGAGGCAGCAGUAGGGAAUAUUGGUCAAUGGGUGAGAGCCUGAACCAGCCAUGCCGCGUGCAGGAAGACGGCCUUCUGGGUUGUAAACUGCUUUUGCCAGGGGCUAAAAAGUCCAUGCGUGGAAAAAUUGAAAGUACCUGGUGAAUAAGCCACGGCUAACUACGUGCCAGCAGCCGCGGUAAUACGUAGGUGGCAAGCGUUGUCCGGAUUUAUUGGGUUUAAAGGGUGCGUAGGCGGCUCUGUAAGUCAGUGCUGAAAUUUCCCGGCUUAACUGGGAGGGUGGCAUUGAUACUGUGGGGCUAGAGUACAGAUGAGGUAGGCGGAAUUGACGGUGUAGCGGUGAAGUGCUUAGAUAUCGUCAAGGACACCUAUAGCGAAGGCAGCUUACUAGGCUGUAACUGACGCUGAGGCACGAAAGUGUGGGGAUCAAACAGGAUUAGAUACCCUGGUAGUCCACACUGUAAACGUUGAUUACUCGCUGUGUGCGAUAUACAGUACGCGGCCAAGCGAAAGCGCUAAGUAAUCCACCUGGGGAGUACGCCGGCAACGGUGAAACUCAAAGGAAUUGACGGGGGCCCGCACAAGCGGUGGAGCAUGUGGUUUAAUUCGAAGCAACGCGAAGAACCUUACCAGCCCUUGACAUGGCAGGACGAUUUCCGGAGACGGAUCUCUUCACUUCGGUGACCUGCACACAGGUGCUGCAUGGCUGUCGUCAGCUCGUGUCGUGAGAUGUUGGGGUUAAGUCCCUUAACGAGCGAAACCCUUACCUUUAGUUACUACGGGUCAUGCCGAGGACUCUAACAGGACUGCCGGUGUCAAACCGGAGGAAGGGGGGAUGACGUCAAGUCCUCAUGGCCUUUACGCCUAGGGCUGCCACGUGCUACAUGGAUGAACAGAGG
rnacentral:rRNA from 1 species